GACAGAGGGUGCAAACGUUGUUCGGAAUUACUGGGCGUAAAGCGAGUGUAGGCGGUUUGGUAAGUCGGAUGUGAAAGCCCCGGGCUCAACCCGGGAAGUGCGACUCGAUACUGCCAAGCUAGAGUGUCGGAGAGGUUGGUGGAAUUCUCGGUGUAGAGGUGAAAUUCGUAGAUAUCGAGAGGAACACCGGUGGCGAAGGCGGCCAACUGGACGAACACUGACGCUGAGACUCGAAAGCGUGGGGAGCAAACAGG
rnacentral:rRNA from 1 species